rfam:Camelus ferus unplaced genomic scaffold scaffold1276, whole genome shotgun sequence.
GGAAGGGUACAGCUCAAGUGGUAGAGCACAUGCUUAGCAUGCGUGAGGUCAUGGGCUCAAUCCCCAGCACCUCCA